rnacentral:rRNA from 1 species
AUGAAUUGCAUGAGCUGGAACUGCCGGGGGCUUGGGAACCUCGAGGCAGUUCGCGAGCUUCGCAGCAUUGUGAAGCAAGAAGGUCCUGCCCUUUUAUUUGUAAUGGAAACUAAAAUAAGGGCAAAGAGAGUGGAAAACCUGAAACUCACGUUAGGGUUUGCGGGUUGUUUCGCAAUCGAUAGUGAUGGUCUGAGUGGUGGUGUUGGACUGUUCAGGUCGAAGGAAGUUUCAGUUGAGUUGAAGAAUUAUAGUCUGAGUCAUAUUGACGUCAUAGUUAAGAAGGAGGGACAAGUUUCUCCGCCAUGGAGAUUUACAGGUUUCUAUGGAGCACCGAGAGCAGAGAAUCGUUACCAUAGCUAG